CCUACGGGUGGCAGCAGUGGGGAAUAUUGGACAAUGGGGGGAACCCUGAUCCAGCCAUGCCGCGUGUGUGAAGAAGGCCCUCGGGUUGUAAAGCACUUUCAGUGAGGAAGAACGCCUGGUGGUUAAUACCCAUCAGGAAAGACAUCACUCACAGAAGAAGCACCGGCUAACUCCGUGCCAGCAGCCGCGGUAAUACGGAGGGUGCGAGCGUUAAUCGGAAUUACUGGGCGUAAAGCGCGCGUAGGUGGCUUGAUAAGCCGGUUGUGAAAGCCCCGGGCUCAACCUGGGAACGGCAUCCGGAACUGUGCAGCUAGAGGGCAGGAGAGGAAGGUAGAACUCCCGGUGUAGCGGUGAAAUGCGUAGAGAUCGGGAGGAAUACCAGUGGCGAAGGCGGCCUUCUGGACCGAGACUGACACUGAGGUGCGAAAGCGUGGGUAGCAAACAGGAUUAGAUACCCCAGUAGUC
rnacentral:rRNA from 1 species